CCUCCCUCACUUGAGCACAAUCCAAGAUGAAAGUUUCUGGGUUGUGUCCCCUUCGCUUCCUCUCACCCUCGCUCCCCCGCGGAGCCAAGGAGCCAGCAAUUGUGCAAGAGGAGACCGGCGCACAGGGCGCGUAUCACGGAGCGCAUGGUACGAGCCGCCGGCUCCGGUGAUUAAUUAUCAGUAACCGAUGGCCUCGCGCUACCACGUCGGCUUUCCCAGCAGAGCCAGCAAGCCGAACGCCUCCAGCGCGGCCGGGACGGAGGAGCGGCUCUGGGGAAGACGCCGAGGCUGCGCCCGAGUGAGUGCGCCGGCGGGCCGGCGGGCGGGCGGGAGAGCGGGCCGGAGCCGGCGAAGGGAAUGCAGGGGCGGGCGCAGAGGGCUGGCUGGCAAGGAGGAGCGGAGCGGAGGAGCGAGGACCGAGCAGCACAGCCCGCCACGCACGCCGACUCCUCCAGCAACCCUCGGCGCUGGCAGCCAAGCCUGCACAGCCUCGUCUCUCUUCUCAGGUCUGAACGAAGCUGCCUCCAGCCACAUGAAGUCAGUAGGGCUGUUCUGAGGGGCCCCGAGAUUUGAUGACUGUUUUUUAGGUUGCGGAACCUACUCCGAGAGAGCAAACACUUUGGACGAAGUGAUUCAUAUUGAUAGAUACAUUUGUUGGGAGGUGGCUUUUUUCAUUCUCAACAGAAAACAAAGAAAUAAAUUAAGUCUUCCCCUGACCCAGAUUGUACUGUGAAAC
rnacentral:lncRNA from 1 species